AUGAUGGACUAUAGGACAGGACUGCUGCUGUUAACUCUCUGCUGGGCAGGUGUUGAUGGUCAGACUCUGACAGAAUCUGAACCAGUGGUUAAAAGACCUGGAGAAUCCCACAGACUGACCUGUACAGCCUCUGGAUUCACAUUCAGUCACUACUGGAUGCACUGGGUCAGACAGGCUCCUGGAAAAGGACUGGAGUGGAUUGCUGGUGUUUACAACAGUGCCAACAUUGCACACUCUCAGUCAGUCCAAGGCCGGUUUACCAUCUCCAGAGACGACAGCAGACAGCAGGUGUAUCUGCAGAUGAACAGUCUGAAGACUGAAGAUUCUGCUGUUUAUUAUUGUGCACGAGACUCACAGUGACUGUAGUUGGUUGAACAGCUGUACAAAAUCCCAUUUCCCAUCUUUAUUGUGCUGAUGGAUGCUAGUGAAUAAUUGUAUUUCCAUUGUACCUUCAUUUAUUGUUGGUUUUAUAGAAACUGGCUGUGAGAAC